ensembl:lncRNA
UGUAUCUUAUUUGGGUAAUGACAUCUUGAUUUUACAUCCUAAUCUUGAUGAAAAAAUAGGAUGAGGCUUUGGGGGGUCAUAAAAGCAUGAUAAGUAUAUUUUACAUGUAGGAGUGAAGUAAAUCACAGAGGACAAGAAGAUCUACUGUGAGCGCUAGUCUUCAAAGAUUAACUCCCAAUUAAUAUCUGAAAGUAGUGUGUAUAUCCACAUACUUGUGCAGGAGUCAGUAUGCAUUUAAAUCUGAGCUGGCCAAGAUAAAAUGUAAUGAAAAUAACAAUUUAUGAUUAAAGUUAAGUUAGAAAGAGGCUUGAAGAUUCUGCUGUGAUCUCUUAGACUACUUGCUCUCAGAGAAGCUGGCCAAGAUGUGAGAAAUCCUCUCACUCUAAGACCAUGAUGUAAGUUCAAGUUAGCCCUGUGGGGAAGCUUCGCAAAGAGAUGAAUGGCCAACUUCCAGUGGUUUCUGACAUCCCAGCACAGUCACCAGACAUAUAAAAGAACAAACCAUUUUGAGAAUCUAGCCUGAUCAAACAUUCUGUUUACUUCGACCUCAUAAAACUUUGGUCUACAAACAGAUGAAAGAAGCCCAGAAGAACCAACCCAGCCGGACCACCAAUUUUGUCAAAUCAAAAAAUCAUCAGACAUUAUCUUAUAUUUUUGUAUCUUGCCAUUAAACUUUGUAGUUGUUUGUUAAACAUAAAUAGAUUUAGAGGAAGAUUCUAAGAUGGCCAAAUAAGAGGCAGCUCCGGAAAGCAGCUCCCAGCGAGAGAGACUCAGAAGCCAAGUGGUCUCCAGAAUUCCAAACGAGUCUUGACUUCCUCAGUUCCCUGCAGUGUAUUCCUCAAAAACGAACCUCAGAAAAUCCUCUGUUAUGAUUUCUAUCUCAGAUUUUGCUUCUGGAGACACAUUUCAAGACAGCCUCUACAAAGGCUUCACAGAACAAGAAGACAUGAAGAAGGAGGAUGGACAGGGUGCUACUUUCUGUUCACCAGCUGCACUCUACUUACUACAGACCUGCCUAUGCUGGAUGUUAUUGAGACAAAUGGCUAAUGAGUACGGAGCCACAGCAUUAACCUCCAGUGCCUACAUAAGCCAUAAGAUGAGUAAGGAAACAGAAAUGAAACAGCAAGAAAAAAAAAAGGAAAAAGAGAAGAAUUGAGGCUGGAAACACCAUGGCUUAUAUGAAGAAGAGAAAUAAUGCCAGGAUAUAUGAAGUAUGGCAAAUGGUGUAAAUAAGAGGAGGCUGCAGGGGGAGAGUAGAUCAAAAUACUAUAAAAUUUCAUCAGUAAGCAAGAUUAGCCUGUUAUCCUAAUAAAGAUGGAAAGCCAAC